rnacentral:lncRNA from 1 species
UAAUUUGGCAUGUCUGGUAGGUGGUUCCGGCGUGUCCGGCAGGUGGUUCCGACACGUCUGAGAGGUAGUUCCAGCCUGUCUGGCAGGUGAUUCCAGAGAGUCCCUCAAGUUGUUCUGGCAUAGCCGGCAUGUGAUUUGGACAUGUCUGGCAGCUGCUUGCAGCGAGUCGAACAAGUGGCUCCGGCGUGCUGGGCAGGUGAUCCCGGUAUCUUUGGCACGUGGUUCUGGCACGUCUGACAGGUGGUGCUGGCAUGCCCGGCAGGUGAUUCCAGAGUGACCGCCAAGUGGUUCAGGCAUGUCCAGCAGGUGGUUCCGGUGAGUCGAGCAGGUGGUUCGAGCGUGCUUGGCUGGUGGUCCAGGUGUGUCUGGCCGGUGGUUCCGGUCUGUCCGGGAGGUGGUUCUGGCGUGUCCAGCACGUCAUUCUGAGACAUCUGAGAGGUAGUUCCGGCUUGACCUUCAGGUGAUUCCAGACUGUCUGCCACAUCAUUGUGGCGUAGCCAGCAGGUUAUUUUGGCGUGUUUGGCAGGUGAUUCCUGCGAGUUGAGCACAUGAUUCCGGCAUGUUCGGCAGGUGGUUCCAGCUUGUCCGGCAUGUGGUUCUUGCAUAGCUGUCAGGUGAUUUUUCCAUAUCAGGCAGGUGUUUCCGGCGAGUAGACCAGGUGCUUCCGGCGUGCCCGGAAGGUGGUUCAGGCGGGUCCCUCAGGUGGUUCCGGUCUGUCCGGGAGGUGGUUCCGGUGUGUCCGGUACAUGAUUCUGGCACAUCUGUGACAUGGUUCCUGCAUGUUCGGCAGGCGAUUCCGGACUGUCUGCCAAGUGGUUCUGGCGUAGCCGGCAGUUGAUUUUGGCGUGUCUGGCAGGUGGUUCCGGUCUGUCCAGGAGGUGGUUCUGGCGUGUCCCUCACGUAGUUCGGGGACAUGUGAAGGGGUUUCUGGCAUGUCCGGCAGAGAAUUCCAGAGUGUCCACCAAGUGGUUCUGGCGUAGCCAGCAGGUGAUUUUGGCGUGUCAGGCAGGUGGUUCCAGCGAGUCAAGCAGGUGGUUUCGGUGAGCUCUGCAGGAGCUUCCGGAGUGUCCGACAAGUGGUUCUGGCACAGCCGGCAUGUGAUUUUGGCAUGUCCCGCAGGUGGGCCUUGGGAGUCGAGCAGGCGGAUCUGGCGUCCUCGGCAGGUGGUUCAGACGUGUCCGGCAGUUGGUUCGAGUCUGUCCAGGACAUGGUUCCGGAGUGUCCGGCACAUGGUUCUGUAAGUCUGAGAGGUGGUUCCGGCAUGCCUGGCAGGUGAUUCCAGAGUGUCCACCAUGUGGUUCUGGCGUAGCCGGCAGGUGAUAUGGCGUGUCCGGCGGUGGUUCCGGCGUGUCGAGCAGGUGGUUCGGGUGUGUCCAGCACGUGCUUCUGGCACGUCUGAGAGGUUGUGCCGGCAUGCCCAGAACGUUAUUCCGGCUUGUACGCCAAGUGGUUCUGGCGUAGCCGGCAGGUGAUUUUGGCGCAUCCAGCAGGCGGUUCCGGGGAGUCCUGCAGGUGGUUCCGGUGAGCUCGGCAGGUGCUUCCGACAUCUCUGGAACAUGAUUCUCACACACUUGAGAGGUGGUUCCGGCAUGGCCGACGAGUGAUUCCGGAGUGUCCGGCAAGUGGUUCUGGCAUAGGCGGCAGGUGAUUUUGGCAUUUCCUGCAGGUGGUUCCGGCAAGUCGAGCAGGUGGUUCCAGUGAGCUCGGUAGGUGCUUCUGGCAUCUCCGGCAUGUGGUUCUGGCACCUCUGAGAGGUGGUUCCGGCAUGCCUGGCAGGUGAUUCUGGUGUGUCCGCCAAGUGGUUCUGGCGUAGCCGGCAGGUGAUAUUGCAUGUCCAGAGGUGGUUCCCGUGAGUCGAGCAGGUGGUUCGGGCGUGUCCGGCACAUGCUUCUGGCAUGUCUGAGAGUUUGUGCCGGCAUGCCCGGAACGUUAUUCUGGCUUGUACGCCAAGUGGUUCUGGCGUAGCUGGCAGGUGAUUUUGGCAUGUCCGGCAGGUGGUUCCGAGGAGUGCAGCAGGUUGUUCUGGCGAGCUCGGCAGGUGCUUCCAGCAUCUCCGGCACGUGAUUCUCACACAUUUGAGAGGUGGUUCCGGCAUGGCCGACAAGUGAUUCCUGAGUGUCCGGCAAGUGGUUCUGGCGUAGCCGGCAGGUGAUUUUGGCGUUUCUGGCAGGUGGUUCCGGCGAGUUGAGCAGGUGGUUCUGGUGAGCUCGUUAGUUGCUUCCAGCAUCUCUGGUACGUGGUUCUGGCACAUCUGAGAGGUGGUUCCGGCAUGCCCAGCAGGUGAUUCUGGACUGUCCGACAAGUGGUUCUGGCGCAGCCGGCAGGUCAUAUUGGCAUAUCCGGUAGGUGGGUCCUGUGAGUCGAGCAGGUGGCUCCAGCGUGCUCGGCAGGUGGUUCAGUCGUGUCCAGCAGGUGGUUCCAGUCUGUCCAGGACGUGGUUCCUGUGUCUCCGGCACGUGGUUCUGGUACGUCUGAGAGGUGUUUCCGGCAUGCCCGUCAGGUGAAUCUGGCCUGUCCCCCAUGUGGUUCUAGCACGUCUGAGAGGUGGAUCUGGCAUGCCCGGCAGGUGAUUCCAGAUGGUCCACCAAGUGGUUCUGGCAUAAGCGGGCAGGUGAUUUUGGCGUGUCUGGCCGGUGGUUCCAGCAUGUAGAGAAGUUGGUUCCAGCGAGCUUGGCAGGUGCUUCCGGCGUCUGCCGGCAUGUGGUUCUGGCAGGUAUAAGAGGUGGUUCCGGCAUGCCUGACAGGUGAUUCCAGAGUGUCCGGCAAGUGGUUCUGACAUAGCCGGCAGCUGAUUUUGUCAUUUCUGGCAGGUGGAUCCUGUGAGUCGAGCAAGUGGUUCCAGCACGCUCGGCAGUUGUUUCAGGCGGGUCCGGCAGGUGGUUCCGGUCUGUCCGGGAGGAGGUUCCGGCGUGUCAGGCAUGUGGUUCUGGCACGUCUGAGAGGUGGUUCCGGCAUGCCCGGCAGGUGAUUCCGGAGUGUCCGGCAAGUGGUUCUGGCGUAGCCGGCAGGUGAUUUUGGUGUGUCCGGUAGGUGGUUCUGGCGAGUCGAACAGGUGGUUCUGGCGUGCACGGCUGCUGGUUCAUGCGGGUCCGGCAGGUGGUUCCGGUCUGUCCGGGAGAUGGUUCCGGCCAUUCCGGCACUUUGUUCCGCUAUGUCUGAGAGGUGGUUCUGGCAUGCCCAGCAGGUGAUUCCAGAGAGUCCGCCAAGUGGUACUGGCGUAGCCGUCAUGUGAUUUGGGCAUGUCCGGAAGGUGAUUCCAGUGAGUCGAUCAGGUGGUUCCGGUGAGCCGGCACGUGCUUCCGGCGUCUCUGGCACGUGGUUCUUGCAGGUUUGAGAGGUGGUUCCGGCAUGCACGGCAGGUGAGUCCGCAGUGUCCGGCAGGUGGUUCUGGCAUAGCCGGCAGGUGAUUUUGGCAUGUCCAGCAGGUGGGUCCUGUGAGUCGAGCAGUUGGUUCUGGCAUGCUUGGCAGGUGGUUCAGGCACAUCUGGCAUGUGGUUCCAUUCUGUCUGGUAGGUGGUUCCAGCGUGUCUGGCACGUGGUUCUGGCACAUGUGAGAGGUGGUUCGGGCAUGCCCAACAGGUGAUUCCGGAGUGUCCGCCAAGUGGUUCUGGCAUAGAUGGCAGGUGAUUUUGGCAUGUCCGGCAGGUGGUUCUGUGGAGUGGAACAGGUACUUCCAGUAUUCUCGGCAGGUGCUUCCAGUGUCUCCAGCUCGUGGCUCUGGCACAUGUGAGAGAUCUUCCAGCAUGCCCGGUAGGUGAGUCCGGAGUGUCCAGCAAGUGCCUCUGGCGUAGCCGGCAGAUAAUUUUGGCAUGUCCGGCAGGUGGUUCUGGCGAGUCGAGAAGGUGGUUCCGGUGAGCUCGGCAGAUGCUUCCGGAGUCUCCGGCACGUGGUUGUUGCACGUCAGAGAGGUGGUUCCGGCAUGCCUGGCACGUGAUUCCGGAGUGUCCAACAAGUGGUUCUGGCACAGCCGGCAUGUGAUUUUGGCAUGUCCGGGAAGUGGGUCCUGCGAGUCGAGCUGGUGGUUCCGGCAUGCUCGACAGGUGGUUCAGGUCUGUCCGGCAGGUGGUUCCAGUCUGUCCAGGACGUGGUUCCUGCAUGUCCGGAAUGUGGUUCUGCUACGUCUCAGAGGUGGUUCCGGCAUGCCAGGCAGGUGAUCAUGGAGAGUCCUCCAAGUGGUUCUGGCGUAGCCGGCAGGUGAUUUUGGCGUUUCCGGCAGGUGGUUCUGGCAAGUCGAGCAGUUGGUUACCACGAGUCUGGCAGGUGGUUCUGGUCUGUCCGGGAGGUGGUUCUGGCGUUUCCGGCAAGUGCUUCUGGCACGUCUGAGAGGUGGUUCCAGCAUGCCUGGCUGGUGAUCCCGGAGAGUCCGACAAUUUGUUCUGGCGUAGCCGGUAGGUGAUGUUGGCGAGUCUGGAAUGUGGUUCUGGUGAGUCGAGCACGUGGUUCCGGCGUGCUCGGCUGGUGGUUCAGGCGGGUCCGGCAGGUAGUUCCGGUCUGUCCGGUUGGUGGUUCCGGCGUGUCCAGCACGUGGUUCCGGCGCGUCUCAGCAGUGGUUCUGGCAUGCCCGGCAGGUGAUUCCAGAGAGUCCAGCAAGUGGUACUGGCGUAGCAGGCAUGUGAUUUCGGCGUCUCCAGAAGGUGCUUCCAGCAAGUGGAGCAGGUGGUUCUGGCAUGCUCGGCUGGUGCUCCUGGUGUCUUUGGCAGGUGAUUCUGGUAUGUCUGACAGGAGGUUCUGGCACUCCCAGCAGGUGAUUCCGGUGUGUCCGCCAAGUGGUUCUGGCAUAGCCGGCCGGUGAUUUUGCGUGUCCAGCAGUGGUUCCGGUGAGUCGAGCAGGUGGUUCCAGCGUGUCCGGCACGUGCUUCUGGCCUGUCUGAGAGGUGGUUCCGACAUGCCCGCCAUGUGAUUCUGGAUUGUCCACAAAGUGGUUCUGGCGUAGCCGGCAAGUGAUUUUGGCAUGUCUGGCAGGUGGUGCUGGCGAGUCAAGCAAGUGGCUUGGGCGAGUUCGGCACAUGCUUCUGGCGUCUCCGGCACGUGGUUCGGGUACGUCUGAGAGGUGGUUCUGGCAUGCCCAGCAGGCGAUUCCGGAGUUUCCGGCAAGUGGUUUUGGUGUAGCCGGCAGGUGAUUUUGGGGUGUCCGUCAGGUGGUUCCGGUGACUUGAGCAGGUGGUUCCGGCGUGCUAGGCAGGUGCUUCCGGUCUGUCCGGGAGGUGGUUCUGGGGUGUCCGGCAGGUGGUUCUGGCACGUCUGAGAUGUUGUGCCAGCAUGCCCUUCACGGGAUUCCGGCUUUUCCACAAAGCGGGCAGGUCAUUUUGCCGUGUCUGGCAUGUGGUUCGGGCAAGUCGAGCAGGUGGUUCUGGCGUGCUCAGCAGGAGCUUCCACCGUCUCCGGCUCGUGUUUCUGGCACGUCUGAGAUGUGGUUCUGGCAUGCCCAGAAAGUAAUUCCGGAUUCUCCACCAAGUGGUUCUGGCUUACCCGACAGGUGAUUUUGGCGUGUCCGGCAGCUGGUUCCGGCAAGUCGAGCACAUGGUUCCGGCGAGCUCGGCAAGUGCUUCUGGCGUCUCCGGUGCAUGGUUAUGGCACGUCUGAGAGGUGGUUCUGGCAUGCCCGGUAGGUGAUUCCAGCAUAUCCGGCAGGUGGUUCUGGCGUAGCCAGCAGGUGAUUUUGGCGUGUCCGGCAGGUGGGUCCUGGGAGUCAAGCAGGUGGUUGCGGCAUGCAUGGCAGGUGCUUCCAGCGACAGCAGCAUGUGUUUCUGGCACAUCUGAGAGGUGGUUCCGCCGAGUCGAGAAGGUGGUUCCCGUGAGCUCGACAGGUGCUUCCGGAGUCUCCGGCACGUGGUUGUGGCACGUCUGAGAUGGGGUUCCGACAUGCCUGGCAGGUGAUUCCGGAGUGUCUGAGAAGUGGUUCUGGCGCAGCUGGCCUGUGAUUCUGGCAUGUCCGGUAAGUGGGUCCUGCGAGUCAAGCAGGUGGUUCCUGCGUGCUCGGCAGGUGGUUCUGGUGUGUCUGGCAGAUGGUUCCAGUCUUUCCAGGACGUGGUUCUGGCGUGUCUGACACGUGGUUCUGGUACAUCUCAGAUGUGCUUCCGGCAUGCCCGGCAGGUGAUUCCGGACUGUCCCCCACGUGGUUCUAGCACGUCUGAGAGGUGGUUCCGGCAUGCCCGCAGCUGAUCCUGGAGAGUCCUCCAAGUGAUUCUGGCGUGGCCGGCAGGUGAUUUUCCCGUGUCCGGCAGGUGGUUCCGGCAACUCUAGCAGGUGGUUACGGCAUGCUCGGCAGGUGUGUCCAUCAUCUCUGGCAGGUGGUCUGGCACGUUUGAGAGUUCGUUUUGGCAUGACCUGCAGGUGAUUCCAGAUUGUCCAGCAAGUAGUUCUGGCAUAGCCAUCAGGCGAUUUUGGUGUGUCUGGCAGGUGGUUCCGGCUUGUGGAGCAGGUGGUUCCGGCGAGAUCAGCAGGUGCUUCUGGCGUCUCCGGCAUGUGGUUCUUGCGUAGCCGGCUGUGACUUUGGCGUGUCCAGCAGGUGGUUCUGGCGAGUCGAGCAGGAGGUUCUGGCGUGCUUGGCAGGUGGUUCAGGCAGGUCUGGCAGGUGGUUCCUGUCUGUCCGGAGGCGGUUCCAGUGUGUCCGGCAUGUGCUUCCGGCACUUCUGAGAGUUGGUUCCGGCAGGUGAUUCCGGACUGUCCACCACGUGGUCCUGGCAUAGCUGGCAGGUGAUUUUGGGUGUCCGGUUGUGGGUCCAGUGAGUCCAGCAUGUGGUUCCGGCAUGCUUGGCAGGUGCUUCGGGCGUCUCUGGUAUGUGGUUCUGGCACGUUUGAGAGGUUGUUCUGGCAUGCCCUGCAGGUGACUUCCGAUUGUCCAGCAAGUGGUUGUGGCGUAGCAAUCAGGUGAUUUUGGCAUGUCCGGCAGUUGGUUCCGGCGAGUCAAGCAGGUGGUUCCGGAGUGCUCGGCAGGUGGUUCCACUCUGUCUGGGAGGUUGUUCCGUCGUGUCCAGCAUGUUUUUCCAGCUCGUCUCAGAGGUGGUUCCGGAAUGCCCGGCAAGUGAUUCCAGACUUUCCCCCACGUGGUUCUAGCACUUCUGAGAGUUGGUUCCAGCAUGCCCGGCAGGUGAUCCCAGAGAGUCCUCCAAGUGAUUCUGGCGUAGCCGGCAGGAGAUUUUGCCUUGUCCGGCAGGUGGUCCCUGCGUGCUCGGCAGGUGGUUCAGGCAGGUCCGGCAGGUGGUUCCGGUCAGUCUGGGAGGUGGUUCCGGUGUGUCCGGCACUUGGUUCCGGCCCGUCUGAGAGGUGGUUGCGGCAUGCCCGCCAGGUGAUACCAGAGAGUCCGACAAGUGGUUCUGGCGUAGCCAGCAGGUGAUUUUGGUGUGUCCAGUAGGUGGUUCUGGCGAGUCGAACAGGUGGUUCUGGCGUGCAGGGCUGCUGGUUCAAGCGGGUCCAGCAUGUUGUUCCGGUCUGUCCAGGAGAUGGUUCUGGCCUUUCCGGCACUUUGUUCCACUACGUCGGAGAGGUGGUUCUGGCAUGCCCAGCAGGUGAUUCCAGAGAGUCUGACAAGUGGGCCUGGCAUAGCCGUCAUGUGAUUUGGGCAUGUCCGGCAGGUGCUUCCAGCGAGUCAAGCUGGUGGUUCUGAAGUGCUCGGCUGUUGCUCCCAGUGUCUUUGGCACGUGGUUUUGGCAUGUCUGUCAGGUGGUUCCGGCAUGCCGGGCAGGUGAUUCCGGAGUGUCCGGCAAGUGGUUCUGGCACAGCCGGCAUGUGAUUUUGGCAUGUCCGGUAAGUGGGUCCUGUGAGUUGAGCAGGUGGUGCCUGCAUGCUCAGCAGGUGUUUCAGGCGUGUCUGGCAGGUGGUUCCAGUCUGUCCAGGACGUAGUUCUGGUGUGUCUGGCACGUGGUUCUGGUAAGUCUCAGAGGUGGUUCCGGAAUGCCCAGCAGGUGAUCCCGGAGUGUCCUGCACGUGCUUCUGGCAUAGCCUGCAGGUGAUCUUGGAGUGUCCGGCAGGUGGUUAUGGCAUGCUCGG